rnacentral:rRNA from 1 species
AGAAUCAACGCUGGCGGCGUGCCUAACACAUGCAAGUCGAACGGGAAAGUGGAGCAAUCCAUGAGUAUAGUGGCGACCGGGUGAGUAACACGUGACUAACCUACCCUUGAGUGGGGGAUAACCUCGGGAAACCGGGGCUAAUACCGCAUAACAUUUUCAGGAUGAGAAGCUGAGGAUCAAAGGAGCAAUUCGCUUUCGGAGGGGGUCGCGGCUGAUUAGCUAGUUGGCUGGGUAACGCCCACCAAGGCUUUGAUCGGUA